rnacentral:lncRNA from 1 species
GUUUUAAACAGCGAGUAUUUGUGAUCUGCUCUCUAAGCAAUACUGAGCAGGACUGAGGACUGCAGCAUUGAUUCUGGACAGUCUGUCGCUGUCCCUGCCCGCACCCAACCAACCCAGCACCCAAAAACAACACAACAGCACACCACCACAACACUGCAGCAGGAAGAAAGGGAGCAUGCACAAGCCUCAAUCAUCCAUCAGCUGUAGCCGUAGCAGCAGGAGGAUCUAAUCACAUCCUCACAUGCUUCACUUCAUCAUCCUCUACCUCUUACAUCCUCAUAUCCUCAUGCUCAUCUUCGCAUCCUCAACCUCACACUCACAUCCUUGACCUCAUUCUCACAUCCUCACAUUCUCACCUUCACAUCCUCAACUUCAUCCUUGAAUCCUCAACCUCAAAUCUUUAUCCUUACAUCCUCAACCUCUUCCUCACAUCCUCAAGCUUAUCUUCGCAUACUCAACCUAAUAUUCUCAACCUCAUCCUCACAUCCUCACCCUCAUCCUCACAACCUCACAUUCUCAACUUCACAUCCACAACUUCAUCCUCGAAUUCUCAUCCUCAAAUCCUCACAUCCUCAACCUCAUCCUUGAAUCCUCAACCUCAUCCUCAAGCUCAGCCUCAUCUUCACAUUUUCAACCUUAUUCUCACAUCCAUCUCAUCCUCACACCCUCAACAUCAUCCUAUACUUAUCCUCAACCUCAUCUUCACAUCAAACUCAUCCUAUACUCAUCCUCACAUUCUCAACAUCACCAUCUACACAGCCACAACCUCACUCAUAUUUUAUUUUCCACCUCACCAUCUUCACAUAUUCACAUCCAUAACCUCAUCCUCAUUUUAUUCAUUCUCAACCUCACCAUCUUCACAUCCACAACCUCAUCCUCAUUAUCUUUAUUCUCAACCUCACCAUCUUUACAUCCACAACCUCAUCUUCACCAUCUACACAUUUUCAACCUCAUCAUCUUCACAUCCACAACCUCAUCCGCAUUAUCUUCAUUCUCAACCUCACCAUCUUCCCAUCCACAACCUCAUCUUUACCAUCUUCACACUCUUAACCUCAUCGUCUUCAC